CUGAAAUGACAGGAGAGUUACUGAACUAGAACAAAACAACAUGACCUACUAAAAUAAUGUUUUAAGAACUGGAGAGAUUUGUGAAAUUACAGUGUGAAACAAAUGUUCCAGAUCUAACCUUAAAUGGAACUGGCCAGAAGAUGGAUUUUCUGUUCUACAAAGCUCCAUCCUCCACAUCACCAUAUUUGCAUUGCUGCUGCUUCUCUUUGGCACUGCUGGGAUGCUGCCCUCACUGACCUGAUAACUGGAAGUAGCUGUUUUACUGCUAAUGGACGUGUCAAAGGUCUUCACUGUGAUCCCCCCACAGGACUACAUGGAGAGCUAAACAUGUCGAAGAAGCUGGACAUCAUGCAGCCUUCCAAAACUUCUCUGUGUGAAAUGGCACUGGACAGAAGGUGCUGUCUGCUCUACAGAAGUGGUCACG